AGUGAACGCUGGCGGUAGGCCUAACACAUGCAAGUCGAGCGGCAGCACAGUAAGAGCUUGCUCUUACGGGUGGCGAGUGGCGGACGGGUGAGGAAUACAUCGGAAUCUACUUUUUCGUGGGGGAUAACGUAGGGAAACUUACGCUAAUACCGCAUACGACCUACGGGUGAAAGCAGGGGAUCUUCGGACCUUGCGCGAUUGAAUGAGCCGAUGUCGGAUUAGCUAGUUGGCGGGGUAAAGGCCCACCAGGGCGACGAUCCGUAGCUGGUCUGAGAGGAUGAUCAGCCACACUGGAACUGAGACACGGUCCAGACUCCUACGGGAGGCAGCAGUGGGGAAUAUUGGACAAUGGGCGCAAGCCUGAUCCAGCCAUACCGCGUGGGUGAAGAAGGCCUUCGGGUUGUAAAGCCCUUUUGUUGGGAAAGAAAAGCAGCAGGUUAAUACCCCGCUGUUCUGACGGUACCCAAAGAAUAAGCACCGGCUAACUUCGUG
rnacentral:rRNA from 1 species